rnacentral:rRNA from 1 species
UAGGGAAUCUUCCGCAAUGGGCGAAAGCCUGACGGAGCAACGCCGCGUGAGUGAUGAAGUUCUUCGGAUCGUAAAACUCUGUUAUUAGGGAAGAACAAAUGUGUAAGUAACUAUGCACGUCUUGACGGUACCUAAUCAGAAAGCCACGGCUAACUACGUGCCAGCAGCCGCGGUAAUACGUAGGUGGCAAGCGUUAUCCGGAAUUAUUGGGCGUAAAGCGCGCGUAGGCGGUUUUUUAAGUCUGAUGUGAAAGCCCACGGCUCAACCGUGGAGGGUCAUUGGAAACUGGAAAACUUGAGUGCAGAAGAGGAAAGUGGAAUUCCAUGUGUAGCGGUGAAAUGCGCAGAGAUAUGGAGGAACACCAGUGGCGAAGGCGACUUUCUGGUCUGUAACUGACGCUGAUGUGCGAAAGCGUGGGGAUCAAACAGG